rnacentral:rRNA from 1 species
AUUGAACGCUGGCGGCAGGCUUAACACAUGCAAGUCGAGCGGGGGAAGGUAGCUUGCUACCGGACCUAGCGGCGGACGGGUGAGUAAUGCUUAGGAAUCUGCCUAUUAGUGGGGGACAACAUCUCGAAAGGGAUGCUAAUACCGCAUACGUCCUACGGGAGAAAGCAGGGGAUCUUCGGACCUUGCGCUCAUAGAUGAGCCUAAGUCGGAUUAGCUAGUGGGUGGGGUAAAGGCCUACCAAGGAGACGAUCUGUAGCGGGUCGGAGAGGAUGAUCCGCCACACUGGGACUGAGACACGGCCCAGACUCCUACGGGAGGCAGCAGUGGGGAAUAUUGGACAAUGGGGGGAACCCUGAUCCAGCCAUGCCGCGUGUGUGAAGAAGGCCUUAUGGUUGUAAAGCACUUUAAGCGAGGAGGAGGCUACUUUAGUUAAUACCUAGAGAUAGUGGACGUUACUCGCAGAAUAAUCACCGGCUAACUCUGUGCCAGCCGCCGCUGUAA